UACGGAGGGUGCAAGCGUUAUCCGGAUUUACUGGGUUUAAAGGGUGCGUAGGUGGAUGUUUAAGUCAGUGGUGAAAGCUCCGAGCUCAACUCGGAAACUGCCAUUGAUACUGAAUAUCUUGAAUAUUGUGGAGGUUGGCGGAAUGUGUCAUGUAGUGGUGAAAUACUUAGAUAUGACACAGAACACCGAUUGCGAAGGCAGCUGGCUACACAAUUAUUGACACUGAGGCACGAAAGCGUGGGGAUCAAACAGG
rnacentral:rRNA from 1 species